CUCCCUGGUGGGAGGUGGCAUGUCCAAAAGAGGAGGAGUCUCAGGAGAAAGAUGAAUGACUUGCCACUGGACAUUGGUUCAGGAACCUGUUCUAGUUCAACCUCCAAAAGUACAAGUGGGACGAAAUGCUUGUGACCGCAUGACUGGCAUGUAUCUGUGAUUACUAGCAAGUGUCCAUUCAGAGAUUUUGGAUAAUGUUUCCUCAUUUAGGAAAUUCUCUGGAAGAUGCUUGUGAUCAAAAGCUCCACAAAACAAAGAGACAGAAGGACAGAAUUAAUGGACAGAAGAGAAGCAGGAAAAGUGGAAGCUGAGGAGGAACACGUGGACAGGCAAUCUGACUGGUCUGUUAGGAUGGAGAAGUUGCUCUCAGAUUCGCUGACGCUGCCAGUUUGGGGAACCAGACUGUACUCACGAACAGGACAGGCAAACUCAGUGAAGUUAGGCUGGAAGCAAAUGUCCUUGGAGAUGGGAAGCCAGGCCUUUAAAGGGGAAAACUCACCUCAACCACCACCAAUGUGUGACACCACAUCACAGUGAUGCACGGCAAGCAUUUUGGACAAAGACCUCAACACCCAUCACAUUGCACUAACCUGUUGCUGAAAAAGGUGAAGUUGACCUCUGGGAUCCUCUGUUCACUCCAGAUGCAGUUGACAUAAUCCAGAUUAAUGAUCAGGCAGUUUACAUCUGAAAAAAUGGAACAGAAAUUGAAAAUCUGUUUAAAUGGGAGAUGUGGUAUGAUAUCAAGAUGAGUUGCAUAAUUACAUUGGGUGUUUACAGUUUUUUAAGAGACAAAUCAGAUAACAUAUAUUAAGGGGUCUAUACCUUCAUGUAUAUCAUGACUAGAGUACUUUUCCACCAUCACAUUGAAUGAAAUUAAUCAUUUUAUCAGUAUGUGAAUGUAUACGACAAGAUGGAUGGCCAUGUUACAGGAAACCCCAAAGUAGUUGACGUCAAUCUCAGACUAGCAGGGGACUUUUGGUGUCGCAUCAGCAAUAGAAAUGGCACAUGAAACUUUACUUUUCAGAUUAUUUUGUGUUUCUAGGUAGUUAUGUAAUAGUUUGAUCAAAUAAAUUGCUAUAAUACCUGG